AAAAAGAAACCAACAGGGAUUGCCCUAGUAACGGCGAGUGAAGCGGCAACAGCUCAAAUUUGAAAUCUGGCUUCGGCCCGAGUUGUAAUUUGCAGAGGAUGUUUCUGGCGCGGUGCCUUCCGAGUUCCCUGGAACGGGACGCCAUAGAGGGUGAGAGCCCCGUAUGGUUGGAUACCAAGCCUGUGUGAAACUCCUUCGACGAGUCGAGUAGUUUGGGAAUGCUGCUCAAAAUGGGAGGUAAAUCUCUUCUAAAGCUAAAUAUUGGCCAGAGACCGAUAGCGCACAAGUAGAGUGAUCGAAAGAUGAAAAGCACCUUGAAAAGGGGGUUAAACAGUACGUGAAAUUGUUGAAAGGGAAGCGCUCAUGACCAGACUUGUGCUGGGCAGCUCAUCCGGGGUUCUCCCCGGUGCACUCUGCCCAGUUCAGGCCAGCAUCGAUUUUUGCUGGGGGAUAAGAACGGUAGGAACGUGGCCCUCCUUCGGGAGGGUGUUAUAGCCUACCGUACGAUACCCUGGCGGAGAUCGAGGUUCGCGCAUCUGCAAGGAUGCUGGCGUAAUGGUCAUCAGCGACCCGUCUUGAAACACGGACCAAGGAGUCGUCCAUUAGAGCGAGCGUUUGGGUGUAAAACCCGCACGCGUAAUGAAAGUGAAAUUAGGUGAGAGCUUCGGCGCAUCAUCGACCGAUCCUGAUGUUCUCGGAUGGAUUUGAGUAAGAGUUUUAACGGACGGACCCGAAAGACAGUGAACUAUGCUUGUAUAGGGUGAAGCCAGAGGAAACUCUGGUGGAGGCUCGCAGCGGUUCUGACGUGCAAAUCGAUCGUCAAAUAUGAGCAUGGGGGCGAAAGACUAAUCGAACUGUCUAGUAGCUGGUUACCGCCGA
rnacentral:rRNA from 1 species